UACGUAGGGUGCGAGCGUUGUCCGGAAUUAUUGGGCGUAAAGGGCUCGUAGGCGGUUUGUCGCGUCGGGAGUGAAAACUCAGGGCUUAACCCUGAGCCUGCUCCCGAUACGGGCAGACUAGAGGUAUGCAGGGGAGAACGGAAUUCCUGGUGUAGCGGUGAAAUGCGCAGAUAUCAGGAGGAACACCGGUGGCGAAGGCAAUUUACUAGGCUGAUUCAGACACUGAGAUGUGAAAGCGUGGGGAGCGAACGGG
rnacentral:rRNA from 1 species